rfam:Pseudorhodobacter antarcticus strain CGMCC 1.10836 genome assembly, contig: Ga0079835_1069
CGCCUGCCGGGCAGCGGGACGGAGCUCGACCGCCCGUUCCGCAGAUGACCGCUUUUAUUGAACAGCAACGCGAUGCUUUUGGGGUCGAGCCGAUCUGCUGUGUUUUGCAGAUUGCCCCA